GUAGGUGGCAAGCGUUGACCGGAAUUAUUGGGCGUAAAGCGCGCGCAGGGCGGUCCUUUAAGUCUGAUGUGAAAGCCCACGGCUCAACCGUGGAGGGUCAUUGGAAACUGGGGGACUUGAGUACAGAAGAGGAAAGCGGAAUUCCAAGUGUAGCGGUGAAAUGCGUAGAGAUUUGGAGGAACACCAGUGGCGAAGGCGGCUUUCUGGUCUGUAACUGACGCUGAGGCGCGAAAGCGUGGGGAGCAAACAGGAUUAGAUACCCUGGUAGUCCACGCCGUAAACGAUGAGUGCUAAGUGUUAGGGGGUUUCCGCCCCUUAGUGCUGCAGCUAACGCAUUAAGCACUCCGCCUGGGGAGUACGGCCGCAAGGCUG
rnacentral:rRNA from 1 species